rnacentral:rRNA from 1 species
AUGGAGACCUGCCCGUCGGUGAAGAACAUUCUGUUGCUGGACUCCGAGGGGAAGCGCGUCGCCGUCAAGUACUACACGGAUGAUUGGCCCGUGCUCUCGGCGAAGCUGGCCUUCGAGAAGUCGGUCUUCGUCAAGACCCAGAAAGCAAGUUCUGGAGCAGAGGCUGAGAUUGUAAUGUUUGAUGGUCAAAUUGUUGUAUAUAAGUUUAUCCAAGACCUGCAUUUUUUUGUUACUGGAGGAGACGAGGACAAUGAACUUAUUUUAGCAUCAGUUCUUCAGGGAUUCGCUGAUGCUAUUGACAUUAUUCUCAGAAAUAAUGUCGACAAAAGAACAGCUCUUGAAAAUCUGGAUCUAAUCCUAUUAUGCCUUGAUGAAAUUGUUGAUGGAGGGGUUGUCCUAGAAACAGAAGGAAGUGUGAUAGCUGAAAAGGUACUAGCUCAUGGAGCAGAGGGUGCCACAUCAAUCGCCGAGCAGACUAUAGUUCAGGCCCUAACAACGGCAAGAGAGCACUUUGCCAAAUCUCUGCUUAUGUGA